AUUGAACGCUGGCGGCAUGCUUUACACAUGCAAGUCGAACGGCAGCGCGGGCUUCGGCCUGGCGGCGAGUGGCGAACGGGUGAGUAAUGCAUCGGAACGUGCCCAGUAGUGGGGGAUAGCCCGGCGAAAGCCGGAUUAAUACCGCAUACGACCUGAGGGUGAAAGCGGGGGACCGAAAGGCCUCGCGCUAUUGGAGCGGCCGAUGACGGAUUAGCUAGUUGGUGGGGUAAAGGCUUACCAAGGCGACGACCCGUAGCUGGUCUGAGAGGACGACCAGCCACACUGGGACUGAGACACGGCCCAGACUCCUACGGGAGGCAGCAGUGGGGAAUUUUGGACAAAGGGGGCAAACCUGAUCCAGCCAUGCCGCGUGCGGGAAGAAGGCCUUCGGGUUGUAAACCGCUUUUGUUCGGGAAGAAAUCCUCUGGGCUAAUACCCCGGGGGGAUGACGGUACCGGAAGAAUAAGCACCGGCUAACUACGUG
rnacentral:rRNA from 1 species